rnacentral:ncRNA from 1 species
ACAGUACAAACUGAUCAGGCGGAACGCACCGGAUGGUGCGGUUGCGGCCGGGCCCCGAGGGCAGCAGAUGGGUUGAAAUGAAGGCAUCUGCGGGACAGU